AGGCAGUGUUGUGGGCUUGAAUGUCCCUGAAAGGAGCCUCGGACCCUGGAGGAGAAGGCAGCUGCAGGGGCAAAUCCUCCCGUGGGAAAUCAGGGAGUUUGGUGCUGGGGUAGCGGCAGCAUCUCUGCAUCUUGGUACUCAUGUUAUUCAGGGUACUUUAAAAGAAUGCUUACAAAGCACAUGUUCUGUGCAGCAAUAUAAAGGAUAAUGCUAAUUCUCAAUAGAUACAGUAACUAUAAGAAACCACAUGCAAAUGAAAUUCUCUGAGCGAGUCUUUUCUCUUUUAGUCCAAAUGGAAGAUGAGCAAGUUGCCUUGUCAGGCUUCUAAAGGGCAAGAUGAGAAGCAGCUGGAGGGUUGGCAUCCUCCUUGGAGGUGGUCCUCUUACUGGGACAUACAGGAGUCAAUAAGAGGAAAGGGUUACCAGGCAGAAAUUAAAAGAUCUACGCUCGGAACUGGCGUGACCUCGGAGAGCCAGGUGCAGUGCUUCCUGGAGUGCAGGAUUGAGUUCCUGCUCUUUUCUUUCUCAACUAAGCCGAUUCAUGGCCCUCGAGGCUCUAAAAGGAGAAAGAAAACCAGUCAAAGGUAAGGAAGGGAAUGCCAUGAGAAGAAAAAGGAUCAUGGGGAAGGAAACUGAUGCUGGGCCUCCUGACCCUCUGAUGGCUCCAUGAAGAAAGACUUUGAAGAGAUUAAUUGGAAAGGAAAAUGAAGCAGAGCCUGAGCCAUUACUUUGUUGAACACCUUCAUUGUGGAGUAAUAGGAUCUAUUUUCUCAGUAACUGUGUUGCAAAAAGUCAGGAGCACUAACAGACAUUCAGCCAUUCCCCACCAACCAUUUGUAAUUGUUCAAAAUUGGAUUCCCUCUUCCUCCUGGCCUCUUCAUUUACCCCUCAUUCUCCUGCACUGUUCUGCUGCUUUCUGAACACAACUCACUGAAGCUUGAAGACAAAAAUGCUCUAAUUAGCACCAAUGGGAUUAUGAAGCCAAAGCAAGAAGGGAAACAAAAU